GUGGCUAGAGGUGCCACUGCUUGAGAUAGCAGAUACUUAAAGACAAAAUAUGGAGAACAGAUCAAGAAUUCCAUUUUGGACUGGCAAAAUUUGAGAUUCCACCAGAGGAUUAGCCCCUGGGGAACACACUUCAAUCUCUCUGCUAUCAGUUCAAAAAAAUUCCUUUCAGCUCUUAAGUCCCGUGGUUCCACGAGAUUCUAACUUGAGGUCAGUAUUUGCUAACAUUCCUUCCAUGAUCAGCGCCUGCGCACACGCAUAGACCCAGUUACUCAAGCUGCUCAUUGAACUAUGAAAUUAAGGAACAGUCUCCUUUUUAAUUUUGCAAGCUCCUUAGGAAAAGAAGUUUUGAAGCCUUGCAUCUGCAUUUGUUUAAGAGUGGCAAAAAGCAGCUGAAUGUUGUAGGAUAUAAAAAUCAUACCAUAACCUGAUGGCUCGAAAAUCCUGGGAUAAGUAAUGGAAAGUGUCUGCUUAGAGGAGACUGGCUGCAAAUAUAUUUGGCGUCAUUCAAAGAAGGGUAAUGUGAGAAGACAUCAGUGAUACAGCCAAGAGGUUUCUCAUCUCAGCAAAUGGGCUGCUGCUAAGGGGCUUUUGCCUUCUUCAAGGCAGCCGAGGCCAGACAGCAGAAUGCGACAUGAAAACAUUCCAUUUUUCUUGGGGGCUGGUGAAUUCUUUAAGUGAACUUAUAUUUAUCAAAAGAAGUUCCUAUUCCUAAGGACAGACUGAUGGGGUCAUUUUGGAUUUUACUCAUGCCUCAGGAGAAUAUUUUAGAUAUAUUCAUUCAUUCAGGCAUUUCCAUGUAUUUGCUACCUUUGAGGUAUAAAUUUGAGGAAGUCCCUCUUCUCAGUGAGCUCACAAUAUAACAAAAAAUAGAUACAAAAUCGAACUAUAAUUGAGUCUGAUAAGCAGUCAAACAGCUGUGAGCAAAAUGUUCUGGAGAACAGAGGGAAAAAAUCAGUGGUUGUGUUUGGCAGAGGUCAAAAGAAGGCUUUAGCAGGAUAACAUUUUGAGCUGGGCCCUAGAACAAGAAUAGUUCUUUAAAAGAAGCUAGAAAUAGAC
rnacentral:lncRNA from 1 species